UGCAUCUGUUCGGUACAGGGAGUCUGCUGGACCCAUCCAGCAGCCUCGGCGCUGUUUGAUAGAAAGGGGAUCGAGGGGAAAACAGAGCCGAUGGGCGUCGGCGGCGGCGGCGCCUCGUCGGCUUUCUCCCGUUCUCCCGAACUGCUUUUAUACUCGCGUGGGUCUCCGAUUAGAGGUGGCGCAGCCAUGGCGAUGGAUUUCCCCGUCUCUCCGGUGGACAGUGCGGCAACACUAAUGGAGUUGAUUGGUGGCGUUGGUCGUGGGGAAGAAGAGACGGCCAAUGGAUCUCGCGGGGCAGUUGUAUGUGGAUUUGGGUGGAGCUAGCUCACCUGGGCAGUCCGUGGUCCUGCUAUGUAUGACGAGGAAACCAGUGUAGCUGCCGGCGGCGUUGAAGGCCAUCUUGAUGGGGACCAUGACGCUGUGAUUCAAGAUCAAACAGAAAAGUGGCGAUGGAGGCUCGGCUCAAUCUACUGGGAAGGUGGAUCCCCAAGCACAUGGAUAGACAAAAAGAUAGAAGUGGGAGCGUCUCACGCAUUGCAAGUGCUGAAGCUUCGGUCGACGAGCUUGAUGCUGCUCCUGUUCAUGUCUGUGGAUCUACAAGGGAUGGUGGUGAUGAAGAGCCGAGCAACUUCAACAUAUCCUGGGUGAUCUUCAUGCUGCACACGCAAUGGCCAGUGCCUCUGGAGCUGCACGAACAUGCAUAUUUUCUUCUGAUAUGGAUGGCAGCAUCCAAACACUAGUCCCAUAUGGUGAGAGUGAUGAGGAGGUUGAUCUGCCGGACAAUGAUAUUGCCUUUUGCCUGCGGUCAAUAUUUGCAACGCCAGGUGCACCCGGGAGUACUGCUGGAGGAAUGAGUAUAAGUACAGCUCCUCAUGUAGCUGCAUAUGCCCGAGAGCUAGAGAAGAAGCUCGAAAGGAAAGGUAAGACCUAAAUACCGAAAACAGCACACAUACUGAUGCAAGAGCUAGAGAAGAAGCUCGAAAGGAAAGAGAUUGAUGCUAAUGAUGUAGGCGAGGACCCACUCGGGGUAGCUGCUCGCAAAGACAAGGCCACUGCAUGGAUUAGAAUUCAGGCUCAGGCCACCCUCCAAACAACAACGCGUCCCGGCUGCCUGGCCAGGCGAGCAGAAUCAAAAAUUCAGGUGCAAGCCAGGCAACAUUUUUGCCCAGGCAUCUCGCUGAGGACAGCAACCAAACUACUCAGUAAUGAUAGUGUGACACCAUGGAGCGAACAUGUCAUGGCAUAUUCAACUUUACACAUGGUCUAUGACACAUGACGCCCUGUCCCAGCAGGCUCGGCACUCUCUGCUCCGCUGAAUUACAGGACCGGACACCGUGUCUGGGGAGAAUUGGUGCACUGGAGCAAAUGAUUCAGGGGUAUGCAGAUAUGUUGGGUGAGCACGGUGCUAUUGGGCUAACAUUAGACUCUAUGGGAGAAACCUAUGAUUUUUACAAUCUUCAUUCAUGGAAGCAUGGUUUCGCCAUCAGAUAUGGGGAAAGUAGGUUUACGUUGAGAAGACAAAGUGUAUGCAGGAAGUCGUCUGUGGAUGCUCUGGGAAGCCAAAAAUCAGAAAACAGCAGGUCCUGCUGGUGCGAGUGCCAAGCCAUGAUUCGAUUGCUUCGCGCAGCUGACAAUGGGCACGCCUCGUCUGUCGCUGCAGUUGGAGAUGCAAUUGGUGGCGAGCAGUUAGCUGUGAUUCACGAUGAUGAUGAAGCGCUGGCUCAAUCGACGAGGAGGAUGGAUCAACAGGCGCCUAGCUGGAUGAAAGCCAACACGGAUAAACUUUGCCUGGUGGAAUUGACUGUGAGGUUUGGGGGUUCUUCAUUGUGACUGAAUGAUAGACUGACAGUAGAAAUUUAGAAAUUUCUUGUACAAGCUAGAGUAGGGGAGGUGUAGUUCUGAAAAAACGUGUGAAGUUUUCUAAACUGAAGCAUGCAAGUACUGGAAUGAAAACAUGCAUAUUUUGAAUUGUAGUGUUUUACUUAGAAUAUGAGUGUGUCGUAUUGCAAACUGCCCGUGUUAGGGCAGCAGAUA